AUACAGAGGAUGCGAGCGUUAUCCGGAUUUAUUGGGUUUAAAGGGUGCGUAGGCUGUGCGUUAAGUCAGGGGUGAAAUGCCGUCGCUCAACGACGGAGCUGCCCUUGAUACUGGCGUGCUGGAGUACGGAUGCCGUUGGAGGAAUGAGUGGUGUAGCGGUGAAAUGCUUAGAUAUCACUCAGAACGCCGAUUGCGAAGGCAUCUGACGAAUCCGUCACUGACGCUGAGGCACGAAAGCGUGGGGAUAGAACAGGAUUAGAUACCCUGGUAUUCCACGCCGUAAACGAUGAUGACUAACCGUCGGCGAUAGACAGCCGGUGGCCAAGCGAAAGCGAUAAGUCAUCCACCUGGGGAGUACGUCGGCAACGAUGAAACUCAAAUGAAUUGACGGGG
rnacentral:rRNA from 1 species